UCAAUAUCUGCCAACCCCACUGCAACAGCUAUAGCAACGCACCUUUAAGAUCACAUUUCAGGAAAGAUCCUGUGCAGUUAUCUGACAGUCACCAGCUCUCAUGCUUACUGGAUCCACCAUGGCACUCACACCAAGAGAGGGAAACAUUUAAAAUAUUUGAAUCAAAGCUGAGAUUACUGAAACCAAGCACGCGGUGCUACAGUGUGCUAGCAAUUUUCUUUCAUCUUACUCCACAAAACCAAGAGCAAGAUAAGAAGAUAGGAUGUCGGGAGAAAUAAUAGGCAUCAUGUUAAGUGCCAACCUCUUUUAAAAAGUCUUCUUUGCCACUAAGAUUAACCCCUUCCUAAGGCAAAAAUCUGAACAUGGCAAAUACUUAAGAACUUUUCUGUGAAAUUUCUGAGAAAGUCUAGGCUUAUUUUGUGCAGCAAAUAUGUAUUCACUCAGGUUCAAUGUCUGUUACCUGAAAUUAAUUACAUGUAAUAAGUUAAGAAAAAAACACAAGUCUUAUCUUCAACUUGUAUUUCUUAUAAAUUGGCUGGUAAACCUACAGGUUUAGUAAGAUUCAGAUUUUAUUUUUUGGCAAGACUUUAUCAGAGGUGAUGCUGUGAUCUUCCCCUGGGAGGUGUCCUGUCUGCUCAGCAUCAAAAGCAGCGAUGAUCAAUGCCCAGCCCCAUCAGAUUAAUGAGCCAAACUUCUGGAAAGUAAACUUCAAGAACAAAUAAAUGAAUGCACCCUCGUCACUUUAAAACAUUUUUCCCUUCACAAGAUUUGACUUCAAUCAAAAUUUGGAGAUUGUGAUGUCACAGAAGACUGCUAUAUAUCAGGACAAGGAUAACAAUGGGAAAUAUCUAUUUUAUUCUGGACGACAGUCUGUGACAAUGAUCAUUUUUCUUUGAAUACCACAGUUGCAUUAAAUCAAUCCAAGAAAUU